GCUCGGUUGAUCUAGUCGGUUAUGAUGCCAACCUAAUACCGUCAGGUGCUUAGUUGGAUGUCGGCGGUUCGAUCCCGCCACUGAGCA